UUAGGAAUAUAUUCUCAUAGUUUAGGAAAUAAUAAUUUAUUUAUAAUAAACAAAAAUUAAUUGAGCGUAUAGUUAGCAGAUAUAAUUUUUUAAAAAUUCUUUUUUUAUUUUAAUCAACGUGAAAUCAUUUGGGAAACACGUCUGUAAUGUUUUCAACGUUUGGGAGAUAAUAGUUUAUUUUAUAAUAAUUAAUUUCCUCUCAGAUAAUAAUCCGGAACCGGAGACAUAAGGUCAGAUAUGUAAAGCUAGAUGGACGAGAUCCAAUAUAGCCCACAUUGCUAAUUGGCCAGUUGCACACUAGGACUCUCUGAUUGGUCAAUCGUACUGGAUUGGUUCAUUACUUUAUGCAUACAUAUAUGGACCAAUUAAUUUUCUUGCAAAUUUGUCUGGAUAUACCUUUACGACAAAAAACUUAAUAAUCACGCAUUAAAAUUUGUAUCCAAAUUUAUGAAGAUGUGUUCAACUAUGGAAAUACUUCGUGAACGCAUUGUCCUUUUAGAUGAAUUUUAUCCGAUUGUAAAAGAUCCUGAAGCUCCAUCUAUCAAACCGCACAAGUUGAUUGCAGAAGACUCGAUUACUGCGAUAUGGAAGUAUCUCUUUUGUUGUUCCAAACCGACUGAGCCAUGUGCAAUUAGAUCGUUUGAAUGUAAUAAUCCGGAAUGUAUAACCUCUGCCGAAAAUGUUCGAUUAAAACAUAAUCCGUUUUAAUCGGUUUUAAUCGGUUUUAAUCAGUUUUAAUCUGCGCCCGGAUUAAAAAGUAAUCGAUUUGGAUUACUUUUUUUAAAUCAGUUUUAAUCGAACAUUUUCGGCAGGGACGUCAUUACCAACGAAUGUUGCAUAUUUUGAAUUAAAUGCCAGAACGAUUAAUACUAAAGGUAUUCAAGCAUUGCAAGAUACCGUCUUAUUCAAUGAACAUUAUUACAAUGUUAAGUGCCGACAAAAAAAUUGCCCAGGAACAGUCAUUGAAACGAUUCGUUCACAUUUCCACAUCUUUAUUAAUUUGGAUGCGAGGACACAUCGCAAGAAAACACAUGGCUUCAAAUGCCAGUUAACAGGUGUUCCAGUUACACUGAAUUUUGGAAAACAGUACCGCUUGAUAGGUGUCAUCGAAUACAUUCCUGGUCACUUUAUUGGCUACUGUCGAAAACCUUCAGAACGAUGACUGAAAUGUGAUGAUAUGCAAUUAAAUGUGGAAAGAUGUGACGAGACAACAGUAAUUACACCGAUUGGGACUAUUUAUAUUGCACUAUGAAUCUGAUGUGCAGAUCAUAAAAAAAUAUAUAGGGGAAAGUAGAGUAAAACCGGAUACCUUUUUGGAUUUGUCUUCCUACAAAAAAUCUAAGAGUAAAAAAAAUUUUGCCGACCAUUAGUAGUCUUUAGUGAACCUUAAACUAUGAGAAAAUAAGGCUAAUUGCUGAAAAAAAAAUUUUUGUUUACCAAUAAUAACAAGAUUUUGUAGAGAAGUCAAAGUACCCAGUUUUGUCCUACUGGUAGGGUCAAACCGGAUACCCAUUUGAAAAUAUGCAAAACACCGUAUAAUUACAAAAUCUAGAUUUAUUUUAAUCAAAAUCAGUAUAAAGAUGUAUUCUAUUGACAAAAAUCACAAAUAAAGAUAUCCUCUUGUUCGACAUUGCUGCAGGACUUUCUUAUUUAACUUUUUAACUUUAAAGAUCUCAAAAAGCUUUUUUUUAGUCGUUUCUUUUUGCGAAUGUUAGUUUUCGUUUCUAACUGCUUUUUGUAGAGACACAAAGUCAGGAUAACAGUUCUUCCUCUUUUCGUUAUAUGAGAUAUGUAAGUACCCAGUUUUGCCCCAACACAAGGAAAGUUACAAAUACGACGGUUGUAUAUUCCGGCGUACAAAGUGCCGAUCAAAACUAAUAUGAUAUACUCUCUAAUAUGUACAGAAUGCAAUGCUGCACUUACCGAAACAGAUGCUCUAUAUAGAAAAAGUGCACGACGACUCGAUUCUUGCCUCGAUAUCUAUCUUUUUGGGGCUAAAAUCUUUGAACUUCUUUUAAAAAAGAUAUAUCGUGUACACAGGGGUACGGUUUGUCUUAAAAUAAUAAUGACGUCAAUCUACAACUAAUAACACAAAUUAGCCAUAGAUAGCAGCAUUUAUUACAAAAAACAUGAUUACCCGGUUUGACCCGCCUACCCGGUUUUACCC